rnacentral:rRNA from 1 species
AAGUGGCUCCUUACACCUUACAAAGGAAUGGCUGAUGAGAAACAWCUCGAUCCGCUCAGCGUUCUAUUGGAAUGCAACGGACGUGAUUGCAAGCUUUUGUUUUGAGUUGCGGUUUUACUGAAAGACUCUACAAUCCGCAAACUUCAAUSAUCUGAAGUAGAAAACCUACAUGCUACAGUGAGAUAUUGUGGAUAAACUUAASCGACCGCUCCAACAUUGUGUUUUUUUAAAACUGAUGAAGGUUGCGGCAAUAACAGGUCUGUGAUGCCCUUCKAUGUCCUGGGCUGCACACGUGCUACAAUGGCUAGCGCAGUGAGCAUAUUUCAACCGAAACAUCGGUUGGCUGUUCUGAUUGACCCCUUCUGGGUCUCUCUGUAACACUACCGAUGAUCCCUCCUCUGAAAAGAGAGGGUAAGCCGUUCGAAAUUCUGGUAACGAUUCCCCGUAGUUAAKCAAACUUAAACCAUAGUGGUGUCAAACGGKUCCGCUUCCAUCGGMRAAGAUUCCUCCGGAAAAAGGCUUAUGCAGGCAUUUCACGUAUGCUCCUAUAAAUUCCUGGUAGGGAUAGUCUAUUGUAACUGGUAGACUUGUCAA